CAGGCCUAACACAUGCAAGUCGAGCGGGCGUAGCAAUACGUCAGCGGCAGACGGGUGAGUAACGCGUGGGAACGUACCUUUUGGUUCGGAACAACACAGGGAAACUUGUGCUAAUACCGGAUAAGCCCUUACGGGGAAAGAUUUAUCGCCGAAAGAUCGGCCCGCGUCUGAUUAGCUGGUUGGUGAGGUAAUGGCUCACCAAGGCGACGAUCAGUAGCUGGUCUGAGAGGAUGAUCAGCCACAUUGGGACUGAGACACGGCCCAAACUCCUACGGGAGGCAGCAGUGGGGAAUAUUGGACAAUGGGCGCAAGCCUGAUCCAGCCAUGCCGCGUGAGUGAUGAAGGCCCUAGGGUUGUAAAGCUCUUUUGUGCGGGAAGAUAAUGACGGUACCGCAAGAAUAAGCCCCGGCUAACUUCGUGCCAGCAGCCGCGGUAAUACA
rnacentral:rRNA from 1 species